GGCGAGUCAGAGCACAUCCGGUGUUAGAAGCGCUGGUAGGCCUUGGAGAGGCGGGUUAGGAAGACGCAGGGCCCCUUGGCCUAGCUUCGAUCGUUCGAAUUCAGAGCACGUCCUUCCGAGGUGAAGGAACGCGAAACUCCACCCAUCCGAUUGCUGUUCGGCUGCGGGCGGGUCCUUUGGUCGGGCUGACCCUGGGUGAGCGGCCCGGAGCCAAGACUCGAGAGUUUCUAACCAAACUGCAUGCAGCCCUUCGUAGUUUUUAUACACAUUUUGUUUUCCAAAGAUGGUGUUCGAGACCAAGGAGAGAAAGGCUGUCUCCUUGACUUAAAGGUUACCUAAGUGACCCCUUGAGAGUGGAGACUGCUGCACGGACUCUGGAACCAUGAACAUAUUUGAUCGAAAGAUCAACUUUGAUGCGCUUUUAAAAUUUUCUCAUAUAACCCCGUCAACGCAGCAGCACCUGAAGAAGGUCUAUGCAAGUUUUGCCCUUUGUAUGUUUGUGGCGGCUGCAGGGGCCUAUGUCCAUAUGGUCACUCAUUUCAUUCAGGCUGGCCUGCUGUCUGCCUUGGGCUCCCUGAUAUUGAUGAUUUGGCUGAUGGCAACACCUCAUAGCCAUGAAACUGAACAGAAAAGACUGGGACUUCUUGCUGGAUUUGCAUUCCUUACAGG
rnacentral:lncRNA from 1 species